UACGUAGGUGACAAGCGUUAUCCGGAAUUAUUGGGUGUAAAGGGUGCGUAGGCGGGCUGUAAAGUCAGAUGUGAAAUUCCGGGGCUUAACCCCGGAACUGCAUUUGAAACUUACGGUCUUGAGUGAAGUAGAGGUAAGCGGAAUUCCCAGUGUAGCGGUGAAAUGCGUAGAUAUUGGGAGGAACACCAGUGGCGAAGGCGGCUUACUGGGCUUUUACUGACGCUGAGGCACGAAAGUGUGGGGAGCAAAC
rnacentral:rRNA from 1 species